AAAUAUCACAUUUCUAAGUUUAUAUCACAAAAAUAGCACUCAAAAACUAUAAUGACCAAAAUAGCACCUUUCUAAGUUUAUCCUUUGAAAAUUUUAAUUUUUUUAUUUUUCAAAAUUUAAAAUCUUAUCCCAAAACCUCAUUUCUAAACUCUAAACCCUAAACCCUAAAUUCUAAACCUUAAACCCUAAACCAUAAACCCUAAAUUCUAAACCCUAAACCCUAAACCCUAAACUCUAAACCCUAAAUCCUAAACCCUAAACCCUAAAAUCUAAACCCUAAAUCCUAAACUCUAAACUCUAAACCCUAAACCCUAAAUCCUAAAUCCUAAACCCCACCCUUUAACUCUAAACCCUAAGUUUGUGACUUUUGAUAAAACAUUAAGUGCUAUUUUUGUGACUUUUGACCUUGAAUGCUAGUUUGAGAACGAAAACUUGAUUUAGUGAUAUUUUUGUCUUUUUCUCGAAGUGAAAUCCUUUACGAUGAUAUAUCUGAAACUUUUCAAAUUAGGCGUUUCAGUCACCUUUCAACAAUUCCCACAAAUUGUAAAUGAUAAAGAAAUCAGUUUAAGAUAACACGAAUUCAUUGUGAAGUAUCAAAAAUACUAAAUAGCUUAAUUUUAAUUGAUCUAAAACAUCUUCCACCACAUAAAUUUAGAAGCCGG
rnacentral:lncRNA from 1 species